rnacentral:rRNA from 1 species
UUUUUUUAAAGUCUGAUCUGCUCACUGAAGUUUAAAGAGCCGCGGUAUUUUGACCGUGCAAAGGUAGCAUAAUAAUUAGGUUCUUAAUUAGGAUCUGGUAUGAAUGAUUUGACGAGAAGGGUGCUGUCUCUUUUUAAUUUAUCUGAAUUUAACUUUUGAGUUAAAAGGCUCAAAUUUUUUUAAAAGACGAGAAGACCCUAUAGAGUUUUAUUAAAAGGUUUUUUGUACAUUUUUGGUAUUUAUAUUGUUAAUUUAUUUUUUAAUUUAGUUGGGGUGACUAAAAAAUUUAAUUAACUUUUUUUUUAUUUAAACAUUAAUUUAUGAGAGAAUGAUCCAUUUUUUAUGAUUAGAAGAAAAAAUUACCUUAGGGAUAACAGCGUAAUUCUUUUUGAGAGU